GAUGAACGCUGGCGGCGUGCCUAAUACAUGCAAGUCGAGCGAACGGACGAGAAGCUUGCUUCUCUGAUGUUAGCGGCGGACGGGUGGGUAACACGUGGAUAACCUACCUAUAAGACUGGGAUAACUUCGGGAAACCGGAGCUAAUACCGGAUGAUAUUUUGAACCGCAUGGUUCAAAAGUGAAAGACGGUCUUGCUGUCACUUAUAGAUGGAUCCGCGCUGCAUUAGCUAGUUGGUAAGGUAACGGCUUACCAAGGCAACGAUGCAUAGCCGACCUGAGAGGGUGAUCGGCCACAAUGGAACUGAGACACGGUCCAGACUACUACGGGAGGCAGCAGUAGGGAAUCUUCCGCAAUGGGCGAAAGCCUGACGGAGCAACGCCGCGUGAGUGAUGAAGGUCUUCGGAUCGUAAAACUCUGUUAUUAGGGAAGAACAUAUGUGUAAGUAACUGUGCACAUCUUGACGGUACCUAAUCAGAAAGCCACGGCUAACUACGUG
rnacentral:rRNA from 1 species